AGGACGAACGCUGGCGGCGUGCUUAACACAUGCAAGUCGAGGGAGUCCAGGUCUUCGGACCUGAGGCGACCGGCGGACGGGUGAGUAACACGUAAGUGAUCUAUCCUCAUGCGGGGGACAACCCGGGGAAACCCGAGCUAAUACCGCAUGGUCGGACUGGCUGCAUGGCCGGACCGGGAAAGGUGGCCUCUUCUUGAAAGCUACCGCGUGGGGAGGAGCUUGCGGGCUAUCAGCUAGUUGGUGCGGUAACGGCGCACCAAGGCAACGACGGCGUAGGGGGUCUGGAG
rnacentral:rRNA from 1 species